AAAAAAUAUCUAUCCUUACAAAAAGAAAUCUAUAUUCGCUGAACAACUUACAAUUUCUAUUUUAUUUUAGAUCGCGCUGGUAAUUGCAUGAAUAAAUCGAGAGACAUAAUGAAUAAAUCGGAUACAACGGCGUCUCUCGCUUGAGAGACACCGUCGUGCAAGGGUUUAUUGCGCUACGCGCAAUUGUAUUUACACAUAAAAUGUAAUAUACGAUCCUGCGAGCCUCUAAUUUUGAAAGAAAUAUCAGAUUGUCACAAAAAAUUUGGCAAAAUCUUUGUAAAAAUUCGCCAAUGCGUAUAUGGAAAGGACAUCCUCGAGCUAUGUAGGAAACGCUCAAAUAUUGAACGCUGAAAAUUCUUUGGAAAGGAAGACAGAAACUUCCUUGGAAAGGAAGAGUGGUAUCCGAUGCGUUUGUGUUUUCGUAGCGCUGGGCGCGCUCGACUCUUCGAAUACUUCUGAAAUGUCUCAAAGGACCGUAAAGAAAACUUGUAUGUAUUGCCACUUUAUAAGAGACGUAUUUAUUUUAUCUCCGGCGUCUGAUUUAUGAAGACGAUGACAUUAUGCCAUUACAAACUCCCCCAAAAUAUUUAUAACAUUACAUUUCCUUUAGACGUUCUGUGUUGCGUCCUUGUUCAGCAAUAUUGUAUAUACAUACAUAUAUAUAUAUAUAUAUAUAUAUAUACACACACAAUAGUUGUAAAUCAAGUAUAUGUACAUAGGAUAUGUGGCAAAGGCAAACUGAUACUGACAGCAUGAUUAUCCCUAGGAUUACUAAAGUCAAUAAUAUAUCCUAAUUGAUAGACACAUAAGAUUAAUAAAUUAUUAAUGGCAGAAUAAUUAAAAAAAUGGUAGAUUUUCAAACAAAACUCAAUUUAAGUAUUCAAAUUAUAUGAAAAAACAUUAGAUAGGCCAAAAAUAGUAUCCAAGCAAUCAUUUCGAAUAAAUUUUUGAUUAUUUUGGUGAAUUUUUGUAUUGUUUUUUUUUUACUAUUAUAUGUUCAAUAAAAUAAUUAAAAUAAUUAAGCUAUCGGCCCGUUUUAAAAUCAAUCAUAUUAAAAAACUCUGCCACAUAAUUUUAUAUGUUCUACGUGAACGAGAAACGCGAUAAGGAAAAUCUUCCACUUUUCCCAUUCCAGCUAUACGGCUGGAUAAAAUACAAAGUUUAAAGAUAACUGUUCCACUUCGCUCAGGGAUAAGCCGGAGAGCGAAAGCAGUCGCGAAUGUGUCUAAUGUACGAAUAUCCGUAAGUGGAGCGUAACUCAAAGGGAUGAAUUAAGUUUUAUACGCACUCGAGUGGUUACGAAAUAAAAAUAUACAUUUGCAUUUCGUGGAAACGCCCCGACACAAAGAUAUGUUUAAAGAGUGAGUGAUCCAAUUCGCGGCAAGCCAUCCGUUUUAUCCUCUUAGGAUACCCAUUCCUGUCCACUCAGAUCUAGCCGCCCAUUUCUGAUGUCAAAGACUGAGCACUGGAAAAACAGGCGCGAUCCUCUGAAAGUUAAAGAGUGCAGCGGUUCGUGGGAAAAAGCGGCUGAGUGUCCCUUCAUAAGACCUACGGCUGGAAGGACUGAGCGCGGUAUUAGCCGCGAUGGUUUAUGGACAUUCAUAACGAUGUACGUGGCAAUCGUGCGUUAAUUGUGGUUUUAUUGGAGAAUUUACCUGCUCGCGCAUAUCCCAACAUGCGCCAAUCAAAGUGACAUGAUCUCUCCAAUUGAUAUGCUAUCGUAUUACAUACAACACGCAAAUUAUUGUUACACCGUGAUCGCGCCAUGUAUGUCCCAGAGGUAACGACGAUCUGAGAACUAAUGGACUUUCCGGAGCGGGAUAAGCCACCGAGAGGUGAAGCGCCGCGCGAGAGGAGCGGAGGGGAAAAAAAGGGACUGGCAAGCACGGAGGCGCGAAAUGUUAUCGGGCAUCAACGAGCGUUCGAUCGAUUCGUCGUCUCGCGGCGUUGGUUCCCUUCAGCGUCGUCGAACUUCCGUUCCUCCCCGCUGCCGCGGAGUGCGAGGGCGAAAAUUGAGUUACGAUGUCACCGCUACCCUCCCGAAAGUCGCUCGAUAUGGAAACGAGGCGAGAGGCGGAAGAAGAGCGGUGUAAAAAAAGAAGAGCUGACGGAAAGCGGAGGAAAAUCGAAGGGACUUUCUCUUGUUUCUUCAGGCCAAGGCUGCUUCCGUUUCAACCCUCUCAAUUAAUUCGGAUCUUAGUUGGUGAGCGACGUGAAGGAUAGUGGUCGUUGGAAAAUGAGGAACUCAAUUAUUUCGCCGGGGGUUUGCAUUGUAUCCGGUACACGACGCGACCCCCGCCGUCGACUUUUCGAUCUCAUCGUCGAGCCAGCGCAGUAGACGCCCUUCGUUAGUUCAACGUUAAUAGCAUUGUGCAAAAACCAUUACCGCGUAGUUUCGCGGCCGAUUCUAAGCGAAAGCAUUGAAUGAAAGCAUAAUGCACGGUGCUGUAUCCAGCGGUGAUUGAAUGAACGACAAAGGCAGGCCAAGGGUGUAGGUAUAUAGCGACGGAGACGGAGGGGAAAUAGUGGACGCGGUCGUAUGGCAUCGCGCAGUUUUCCCGCACCAUUGCCUCUGAUUUGACAAUUUUGAUCCUACGUCGUUUAAGCGGACAAAUAUAUCCACGAAAAUUGAAAAUCCUGGAAGCUUGGAGAAGGCCGCCGGCUGCAUGCGGAGAGAGAGAGAGAGAGAGAGAGAGAGAGAGAGAGAGAGAGAAGAAGAGAGGUGGAUCUACAGCAAGAUUCUGAGAGAGCGCGAGAAGGAGACACGCGUUGACGGACGCAAAAAAGAAGAGGAAAAACGCGGGACGAACUGAAGGAGGAUAUUACAAACUCAAGAAGCGAACCGGCAGUAUAUAUGUACGUACCAGCACGACCUCACGUAGCCCGGCAAUCGUUGUAGCGUGCUGAAUCAGCUAUUUCUACGUGGACACGCCUGAUUGGAUGCGGUAAAAUGACAUCGAAACGCUUGAACGCCAUCCACUUGACAAUAAUCAAGAACUAUAAUAAUCUUAACUCUCGAUUAAAAGCUUUUGUCUCUCCUUUUCGUUUCAUCUUGGCGAUAAUGCACGUUUGUGAUAACGUUCGCUGUUUUUACGACGAAAAAAUAGAAUCGGGUUAAAACUGAGUUAUUCAAAUGUAAGUACGAAAAAAGCUUGUUCUUUAAUAUUUAAAGAAUUUUAAUAUUCAGUAAAUAUGUAACCAAAAGUAACUGCGUGACUUUAGGUAUAUAAUUCAUGGACAACAUUUAUAAAAAAAAAAUUUACACUUUGAUGGAAAAUGCAGAAGUUAGUAGAGAAAAUUUGCAUUGCAGAUAUUAAUUUCAUGUCCAAUUUAGAUGUUUAAAUUAGCUAUAAUAUGUUUAGCAAAAAUCGGAUAGUACGAUUAAAAUGUUUUUGUGUAAUUGAUGAUAUACCGAUUAGGUUCACUAAUUAAGCCGUCUCUGGUAAAUUGAUUUACGAAUGUUAUUUGCUGCUUAAUUAAUCGCUUGGACGGCUAUAAUACCUCGAAUAUGAGAUUAAUAUCUGAAUGCAUGAUUACAUUGAUAUUGUGAUUAUACGAGCACGAUCAAUGAGAAGCACACAAUACGUUCGAGAACUAUGAGGGAGGGGCGAAACAGGGAAAGAAAAUGUUAAGCCAACAUACCCAAAUAAAUACGCAUAGUUUUCAUGUAAAACUCAUUAAUAAUACGUCAGAUAAAUGAUAACUUUUUAUCCCUGUUGAUUUGCAAUACAUAGACAACAUUGAAUGGAAGAUGUUAUCGAUAAAGUAAAUUAACCAGGAUAUAUAGAACAGUUACGUCGUUCAAUAUGAUUUACAUAGAAUAAUUUUCCAUACUGUCGAGCGUGACGGUGUCACUGAUCAGUUAUUAAUUAUGCACAGUUAUGUAAAAAAAAUAUAAUGCUGAUUUGUUAAUAAAAUUCGAUUAAUGACCAACAAAAUUAGCAGAGCAUUAGUCAAAAUCUUGUCAAAUUAGUAGUUAUUACAUUGAAAUAAUUAUGUGUCAAACAUGAUUUCCUGUAUUUAGUAUUUGAAUAAUAUAAUGCCACAUCA